GCUUACGGCCACACCACCUGAGCGCGCCCGAUCUCGUCUGAUCUCGGAAGCUAAGCAGGGUCGGGCCUGGUUAGUACUUGGAUGGGAGACCGCCUGGGAAUACCAGGUGCCGUAAGCU
ensembl:rRNA 5S_rRNA 5S ribosomal RNA